rnacentral:tRNA from 1 species
GGCCGCCUGGCGAAAUGGUAUCGCGUCUGACUACGACAAUCAGGAGAUUGCAGGUUCGAGCCCUGCGGUGGUCA